GGGGACACAGCACCCCCAUCAGGCCCCACGGGAGGCACAGCGCCCCCAUCAGGCCACAGGGGACACAGCGCCCCCAUCAGGCCACAGGGGACACAGCACCCCCAUCAGGCCCCACGGGAGGCACAGCACCCCCAUCAGGCCACAGGGGACACAGCACCCCCAUCAGGCCACAGGGGACACAGCACCAGUCACAACAGAGAGAGAGAGAGUGUGGGGGGGUUCAUUAGAGAGCAGGUGAUUGGUUCAGGUACAUCAGUACAAAGCAGGUGAUUGGUUCAGGUACAUCAGUACAGAGCAGGUGAUUGGUUCAGGUACAUCAGUACAGAGCAGGUGAUUGGUUCAGGUACAUCAGUACAGAGCAGGUGAUUGGUUCAGGUACAUCAGUACAAAGCAGGUGAUUGGUUCAGGUACAUCAGUACAGAGCAGGUGAUUGGUUCAGGUACAUCAGUACAGAGCAGGUGAUUGGUUCAGGUACAUCAGUACAGAGCAGGUGAUUGGUUCAGGUACAUCAGUACAAAGCAGGUGAUUGGUUCAGGUACAUCAGUACAGAGCAGGUGAUUGGUUCAGGUACAUCAGUACAGAGCAGGUGAUUGGUUCAGGUACAUCAGUACAAAGCAGGUGAUUGGUUCAGGUACAUCAGUACAGAGCAGGUGAUUGGUUCAGGUACAUCAGUACAGAGCAGGUGAUUGGUUCAGGUACAUCAGUACAAAGCAGGUGAUUGGUUCAGGUACAUCAGUACAGAGCAGGUGAUUGGUUCAGGUACAUCAGUACAGAGCAGGUGAUUGGUUCAGGUACAUCAGUACAGAGCAGGUGAUUGGUUCAGGUACAUCAGUACAGAGCAGGUGAUUGGUUCAGGUACAUCAGUACAGAGCAGGUGAUUGGUUCAGGUACAUCAGUACAGAGCAGGUGAUUGGUUCAGGUACAUCAGUACAGAGCAGGUGAUUGGUUCAGGUACAUCAGUACAGAGCAGGUGAUUGGUUCAGGUACAUCAGUACAGAGCAGGUGAUUGGUUCAGGUGUAUCAGCGUGGCAGGCGAUUGGUCUUCUUUAGAUAGUGGUGGUGAUAGCUGUGUGUGUGUUCAUUGAUCGCUCGCUCUCUCCUCUCAGGGAGAUAGGUGUGUUUAAGUCGAGUGGUUCCUCUCCUCGUAGUGAUGUCAGUUUAUUGAUCUCAUUCCAGAGGGGGAAGAAGAGGGUGGUGUGUGUGUAUUGAUCUGUGUCUCAAGGGCUGUGUGUUGAUGGGUGCCGCCACAUUACUACACACACAGACAAAGCUGUUCCACACACACCUCCACUUCCUCUCCUCCCAGAGGGCCUCUGUUUUUCUCUCUCUCUCUCUCUCUC